rnacentral:rRNA from 1 species
AGCAGCCGCGGUAAUUCCAGCUCCAAUAGCGUAUAUUAAAGUUGUUGCAGUUAAAAAGCUCGUAGUUGAAUUUCGAGACCGGCUUACUGGUCGUGCUUUUGUACGUACUGGUAUAAUCGGUUUCUCCUUUCUGACGAACUAUAAUGCCAUUAAUUUGGUGUUAUAGGGAAUCAGGACUGUUACUUUGAAAAAAUUAGAGUAGUUUAAAGCAGGCUCACGCUUGAAUACAUUAGCAUGGAAUAACGG